UGCCAGCAGCCGCGGUAAUACGGAGGGUGCAAGCGUUAAUCGGAAUUACUGGGCGUAAAGCGCGCGUAGGCGGAUUGUUAAGUCUCAUGUGAAAGCCCUGGGCUCAACCUGGGAACUGCAUGGGAUACUGGCAAUCUAGAAUACAGUAGAGGGUAGUGGAAUUUCAGGUGUAGCGGUGAAAUGCGUAGAGAUCUGAAGGAACAUCAGUGGCGAAGGCGACUACCUGGACUGAUAUUGACGCUGAGGUGCGAAAGCGUGGGGAGCAAACGGGAUUAGAUA
rnacentral:rRNA from 1 species